rnacentral:rRNA from 1 species
CCUACGGGCGGCAGCAGUGGGGAAUAUUGGACAAUGGGGGGAACCCUGAUCCAGCCAUGCCGCGUGUGUGAAGAAGGCCCUCGGGUUGUAAAGCACUUUCAGUGAGGAAGAACGCCUGGUGGUUAAUACCCAUCAGGAAAGACAUCACUCACAGAAGAAGCACCGGCUAACUCCGUGCCAGCAGCCGCGGUAAUACGGAGGGUGCGAGCGUUAAUCGGAAUUACUGGGCGUAAAGCGCGCGUAGGUGGCUUGAUAAGCCGGUUGUGAAAGCCCCGGGCUCAACCUGGGAACGGCAUCCGGAACUGUCAAGCUAGAGUGCAGGAGAGGAAGGUAGAAUUCCCGGUGUAGCGGUGAAAUGCGUAGAGAUCGGGAGGAAUACCAGUGGCGAAGGCGGCCUUCUGGACUGACACUGACACUGAGGUGCGAAAGCGUGGGUAGCAAACAGGAUUAGAUACCUGAGUAGUC